AGAUUAUCCACUCAACUAUUCCUUUUUCUUUUUUUCCUUCCAUUUAACAUGCACUUGCUUAGUGACUGAGCUGAGGAUGCCCACUGCCACAUACUGCAGGUCCCAAGGUUGCCUGCUCUGCUGGGUCAUGUUGAUCAGCGGUUCCCAGUGUACGAUUGUUGAGCCAGUAAUAUUGACAUCGCCUGUGGCCUUGUCAGAAAUACAUUUUCUAGCCCUACCUACAGCCAGUGGAACAGAAACUCUGGAGUUGGG
ensembl:lncRNA